rnacentral:lncRNA from 1 species
GUGCUCUCUUGCCUAAGGAUGUUUGGGAGGCACGUUUGAUCAGCGCUUGUACGAUCUUCAUAACGAUGGGGCAAGUUUGCAGGACGAGUGUUGGUUUUGUUUUUGUUUUCUGUGAGAGGGUGGAGGGAGGGUAGGAUCGGUGUUUUUAAUACUAAUUUCUAUUUUGGUAACAGACUUUAUAGUCCACGUUGCUUUUCUCGCUCAGUAAAUUUCCCUCUGGACAAUGAUCUGCGAAGAGAACCCCAAGGCCCAGUGCCGAGGCGCAAGCACCUAUACAAGGGGAGAGGGUGGAAACGGCAAAUUGGAUUUUUUCCAUGACCUGUGAGGGGGAUGAGAAGUGUUUUAUCGUGCCUGUUUACCAGGCGUUCAGGAAAUGAAAGACAAAUGAUGGUUUUUCCAUCCAUACCACACCAAGGUAUGCUUUGACGCACAGUGCUCUGUUGGCAUGGAAGAAACACUAUUGGAUUUUUAAGUGUGUGAAGCAGUGCCAAGUCAUUUCCCCCCCGCCAUCUGAAGAAACUGAAUCUUUUGUCCCUUGGUGAUGGACCAGGUCUGUGAGACUUUCACCCUAUCCUGUGAUCUUUGACUUAAUUAGAAGAGUUGACCUCUAUCAACUGCUGUCAUUGAGUCAUGGGCUUUCUUUAUUUUGAAGUUAUAAAGCAAACCGAUUUUAGAAAUUGCUUCAUAUUGCCCUUAAAGACCUGUGAUGUCAAAUAGUAAAUAUUUUAAUACAUCACUCCUUCCAUAUUUCCUUAAUUUUUCUUCACAGGAUGAAAUAUCAACUUCUCCUAGUUGGCUCCUUCUCCAGCUCUUUACAUAUAGCAGCUAUUCGUUUUUUAAUUAACGUAAUGUGGGAUUCUGUCUUAGGAAGUUUACCUGUUUGUACAUUAUACUGGUGCUUUCAAAGCUAUUUCUUUCCAUCCAAAUUUCUCUUACUAGUAAAGAGUCUCUUUUUAAGAUUUUUGUUUUUUGAGGCCUAACAUGAAAUUAGAAGUUGCUAUCUAUAUUCUCUUAAAUGGAUAAGCAGAUCACUCAAGUUGUUUAAUUUCUGUUUCAUAAUUUUGUUAUUUUGUCUUAAUAAUUAAUGAUACAUUUGCCCUAUAGGUACAGCUUCUAAAAUGAUAAACUAGUUUUAUUGCUAGCCUAUAACCACUUUUUAAUAACAAUUUCAACUUGCAU